rnacentral:rRNA from 1 species
AGAGUUUGAUCAUGGCUCAGAACGAACGCUGGCGGCGCGCCUAAUACAUGCAAGUCGAGCGAGAAGACGUAGCAAUACGUUUGUAAAGCGGCGAACGGGUGAGGAAUACAUGGGUAACCUACCCUCGAGUGGGGAAUAACUAACCGAAAGGUUAGCUAAUACCGCGUACGACUCUUGGUCUUCGGAUCGAGAGGGAAAGCGAUACCGUGGGUAUCGCGCUCUUGGAUGGGCUCAUGUCCUAUCAGCUAGUUGGUGAGGUAAUGGCUCACCAAGGCUUCGACGGGUAGCUGGUCUGAGAGGACGAUCAGCCACACUGGCACUGCGACACGGGCCAGACUCCUACGGGAGGCAGCAGUAAGGAAUAUUGCGCAAUGGGCGACAGCCUGACGCAGCGACGCCGCGUGGGGGAUGAAGGUCUUCGGAUUGUAAACCCCUUUCGGCAGGGAAGAUGGAACGGGUAACCGUUCGGACGGUACCUGCAGAAGCAGCCACGGCUAACUUCGUGCCAGCAGCCGCGGUAAUACGAAGGUGGCAAGCGUUGUUCGGAUUUACUGGGCGUACAGGGAGCGUAGGCGGUUGGGUAAGCCCUCUGUGAAAUCUCCGGGCCUAACCCGGAAAGUGCGGAGGGGACUGCUUAGCUAGAGGAUGGGAGAGGAGCGCGGAAUUCCCGGUGUAGCGGUGAAAUGCGUAGAGAUCGGGAGGAAGGCCGGUGGCGAAGGC